rnacentral:lncRNA from 1 species
CGGAGUUUGUCUUCCAUAGAAAACUCAUGUAAAGCUUACGCAGACUAUCGCAUCCCUUCUGACAUCUCUGACGGAUGUCAAGUCCUGUGCAAAGCAACCAUUUUAGAUGACAGCAACAGCUACAUGUGAACCGCAUAGCACCUUUUAUUCCGUGUAUUCGAAUAUGAGAAUGCAUACCCUGAGAUAUAAAGAUGGUAGUGAAUCACAGAUAAAGUAGCACAGAUAAAAGUUCUGUGCUACUGCAGAAGAACUCGCAAAUAAAUAGCUUGUGAUAACAGAUGCCAAAGAAGAGGAUAGGAUUAACUGGACAGUGAUCCAAGAUGCACCUACACAUAAAUUCAGAGACAUAAUCAUCAGCUGAACUUAGGCCUAGUAACUUGGGACUGUUCUUCUUGAGCAAAGGGAUGGUGAUUGAGGGAUGGGAGUUGCUACUUAUCCAGCUCUGAUUUGGGUAACCUUUUUUAAAAUAAAAUUUUAAUGUUUUUAAGAGAGAACAUAAAGUGUAUGGCUCCUACGGGCAAGUAGAAUUGAUUUACAGGGAAAAGGGGCAGGCUUUCAAGCUAGCCUAAGUUUUUCAUCAAAAGGAUCACACUUCUGCAAAAGUUACACAUGCGCUUAAGUACUUUGCUUGCAUUAGAAUCUGCCCAUUUUGUUUCUCAGCAGGAGCUCCACAAACCCAUGAACAUGAGCUAAGGCAGAGAGGCUGGUUUUUGCUGGUAGAGAUGACACAAUACAGAAGCUUAUUUCACAGCCAAGAGGAUUGACUAUUAGUGGAUCUGAAUGGAGCUUUUGGAGCCAAAGUAUUAAAAAAAAAAAGAAGUUGAUUUCUUCAACAAGCAGCUGCAAUGACAGAUGGCUGAUGAAUGCACUACCAGCAGUUCCAAUGGAACUCGACUCCGUGGGAGUCGGGGCACCAUGCACCUUCCAAAGGGCGCCACGAUCUGCAAGCACCUCACAAAGGAAGUAUCAUUAGCUCUGUUAGGCAGAGGAAGGAGGAAGAGUAAUGAAGUACAUUGGCUAGAGACACUCAAGGCUCAGGACCUCUGA